rnacentral:rRNA from 1 species
ACGCUGGCGGCGGGCCUAACACAUGCAAGUCGAGCGGUAGAGAGAAGCUUGCUUCUCUUGAGAGCGGCGGACGGGUGAGUAAUGCCUAGGAAUCUGCCUGGUAGUGGGGGAUAACGUUCGGAAACGGACGCUAAUACCGCAUACGUCCUACGGGAGAAAGCAGGGGACCUUCGGGCCUUGCGCUAUCAGAUGAGCCUAGGUCGGAUUAGCUAGUUGGUGGGGUAAUGGCUCACCAAGGCGACGAUCCGUAACUGGUCUGAGAGGAUGAUCAGUCACACUGGAACUGAGACACGGUCCAGACUCCUACGGGAGGCAGCAGUGGGGAAUAUUGGACAAUGGGCGAAAGCCUGAUCCAGCCAUGCCGCGUGUGUGAAGAAGGUCUUCGGAUUGUAAAGCACUUUAAGUUGGGAGGAAGGGCUGUAGAUUAAUACUCUGCAAUUUUGACGUUACCGACAGAAUAAGCACCGGCUAACUCUGUGCCAGCAGCCGCGGUAAUACAGAGGGUGCAAGCGUUAAUCGGAAUUACUGGGCGUAAAGCGCGCGUAGGUGGUUUGUUAAGUUGGAUGUGAAAUCCCCGGGCUCAACCUGGGAACUGCAUUCAAAACUGACUGACUAGAGUAUGGUAGAGGGUGGUGGAAUUUCCUGUGUAGCGGUGAAAUGCGUAGAUAUAGGAAGGAACACCAGUGGCGAAGGCAGGUCUCUGGGCAUUAACUGACGCUGAGGAGCGAAAGCAUGGGGAGCGAAC